AACCUACCCUGGGGACGGGGAUAACCUCGGGAAACUGAGGCUAAACCCCGAUGGGCCAUGGCUCCUGGAAUGGGCUAUGGCUGAAAUCUACAUGGCCCCAGGAUGGGACUGCGGCCGAUCAGGUUGUUGGUGGGGUAAUGGCCCACCAAGCCUAUAACCGGUGCGGGCUCUGAGAGGAGGAGCCCGGAGAUGGGCACUGAGACAAGGGCCCAGGUCCUAUGGGGCGCAGCAGGCGCGAAACCUCCGCAAUGGGCGAAAGCCCGACGGGGUCAGUCCGAGUGGUUCCCGCUGAGGGAACCUUUUGCCAGCUGUAAACAGGCUGGCGAAUAAGGGGUGGGCAAGUUUGGUGUCAGCCGCCGCGGUAAUACCAGCACCCCGAGUGGUCGGGACGAUUAUUGGGCCUAAAGCAUCCGUAGCCGGCCCAGUAAGUCCUCCGUUAAAUCCAACGGCUCAACCGUUGGGCUGCGGGGGAUACUGCUGGGCUAGGGGACGGAAGAGGCGAGGGGUAUUCCCAGGGUAGGGGUAAAAUCCACUGAUCCCGGGAGGACCACCAGUGGCGAAGGCGCCUCGCUA
rnacentral:rRNA from 1 species